rnacentral:rRNA from 1 species
UACGUAGGGGGCAAGCGUUGUCCGGAAUUAUUGGGCGUAAAGCGCGUGUAGGCGGCUCGGUAAGUCUGCUGUGAAAGUCCAGGGCUCAACCCUGGAAUGCCGGUGGAAACUGUCGGGCUAGAGUCCGGAAGAGGCGAGUGGAAUUCCUGGUGUAGCGGUGAAAUGCGCAGAUAUCAGGAGGAACACCAAUGGCGAAGGCAGCUCGCUGGGACGGUACUGACGCUGAGACGCGAAAGCGUGUGGAGCAAACAGG